CCGGUCGCUAGCUGAGAACUGUUUGGCUCCUCGGGGUUUGGUAUCUUUGGGAGCCCACAGCCUGACAGACUCGGGGGAUCAUUUCAACUAGGAAGCAUGGAGGAGAUAUUAGUUCUUAUACCUACAUGGUCAAUGGUGAAAUGAACUCACAAAAAGGAACUAACAGCAUUAAAACCAUAGGGAAACUGCAAACUAGCUUAGAACUGGUCACCAGAAUCCCAGGGAGAGCAAAGAUCUUUCUCCAGCUCCUGCUACUGGGCCAGGUCUGCUAACCUCACGCUAAAUAACAUCAAUUCAAGGAGUUCAAGGCUUUUCCACUAUGAACUAAGUGUUCGAGUUAGAUAAACUAAGUACAAUGAAAAGAGACUGGUAAAGUCAUGUCUGUGAAAGUCAUGUAUGGAUAGCACCCUCAGCUUGCUAUGAAAUCAUAUAUAGACAGUAAUCUUGCUAUGAAGUCAUGUAUGGACAGCGCCAUCAGCUUGCUAUGAAGUCAUGUAUGGACAGUACACUCAACUUGCUAUGAAGUCAUGUAUGGACAGCACUCUCAGCUUGCUAUGAAGUCAUGUAUGGACAGUACACUCAGCUUGCUAUGAAGUCAUGUAUGGACAGCGCCAUCAGCUUGCUAUGAAGUCAUGUAUGGACAGUACACUCAACUUGCUAUGAAGUCAUGUAUGGACAGCACUCUCAGCUUGCUAUGAAGUCAUGUAUGGACAGUACACUCAGCUUGCUAUGAAGUCAUGUAUGGACAGUACACUCAGCUUGCUAUGAAGUCAUGUAUGGACAGUACACUCAACUUGCUAUGAAGUCAUGUAUGGACAGCACUCUCAGCUUGCUAUGAAGUCAUGUAUGGACAGUACACUCAGCUUGCUAUGAAGUCAUGUAUGGACAGCACCCUCAGCUUGCUAUGAAGUCAUGUAUGGACAGUGCACUCAUCUUGCUAUGAAGUCAUGUAUGGACAGUACACUCAGCUUGCUAUGAAGUCAUGUAUGGACAGUACACUCAUCUUGCUAUGGAGUUGCAUCUUUCUACAAGAACAGUAGAAAGCAGUGUGGAUUG